rnacentral:rRNA from 1 species
AAGACCAUCCCAUUCGGAUUGCAGGCUGCAACCCGCCUGUAUGAAGUUGGAAUCGCUAGUAAUCGCGGAUCAGCAUGCCGCGGUGAAUACGUUCCCGGGCCUUGUACACACCGCCCGUCACACCAUGAGAGUCGGGAACACCCGAAGUCCGUAGCCUAACCGCAAGGGGGGCGCGGCCGAAGGUGGGUUCGAUAAUUGGGGUGAAGUCGUAACAAGGUAUC